UCUGAGUCGGUCUCUUCAUUACUGAAGGU
rnacentral:piRNA from 1 species